rnacentral:rRNA from 1 species
GUCCCAGACUCCUACGGGAGGCAGCAGUGAGGAAUAUUGGUCAAUGGGCGAGAGCCUGAACCAGCCAAGUCGCGUGAAGGAUGACGGCCCUACGGGUUGUAAACUUCUUUUGUCAGGGAGCAAUUGAGUCCACGUGUGGGCUUAGCGAGAGUACCUGAAGAAAAAGCAUCGGCUAACUCCGUGCCAGCAGCCGCGGUAAUACGGAGGAUGCGAGCGUUAUCCGGAUUUAUUGGGUUUAAAGGGUGCGCAGGCGGCACGGCAAGCCGGCGGUCAAAUCGCGGGGCUCAACCCCGCCCAGCCGUCGGAACUGCCGGGCUAGAGUGGGCGAGAAGUGCGCGGAAUGCGUGGUGUAGCGGUGAAAUGCAUAGAUAUCACGCAGAACUCCGAUUGCGAAGGCAGCGCACCGGCGCCCUACUGACGCUCAGGCACGAAAGCGUGGGUAUCGAACAGGAUUAGAUACCCUCGUA